UUCAGUCUUGUUUCCAGCAUGCCACUGCCAAGCUAACAAUUUCACCGAAUUAGGGGGAAUUUCCUAAAACAUUUCUUUGAGCUUCAUUGAGUGGAACAUGUGGGAGACAACUGUGUUUCCUGGAGAAGAAAGGAGAGCUGUCUCACUCGUGGAGACUGCCUAAUGUCUAGCAGGAGAAAAACAACCAGCCAUGACAAGAAAAUGUUUUUUAAAACUUGGCGUGAGAAGCAGGUUUUAUUUAUUUAGAUUGCCUUUUCCAGUCUGGUCAAUGUAGUGUAUGAAGAGAGGGUUGGUGGAGGGAAGCUGGUGUUUUUGUUAGGGCCCAGGGCUUGGAGUCAGGAGGUCUGGGCUCUAUUUCUGGCUCCGCUGUAGCCUUCCUGUGGGACUUGGGUGAAGCUCUUGGAGGUGCUGGUGUUGGUGGCACUAUGAAGGAAUCUACACACUGACUGAAGGGCUGGUGCAUUUUGACAGCUUGUGACGCACGGUGCAUCCUUCGCUCUGACUCAGUGCUGCCUCUCCUGCAGAGGUGUGCUCUAAGGCUUCCUUAAUCCUCACAGAGCCCUCUGGUACUCCCAGAACUACAAAAUGUUGUCAUUAAAACAGAAACAUCCAUUUCAUUCCAUGCUAUGACUGAUAACCCGUUUUAUUUUCCGGUCCCAUUUUGCUUGUUUUCCUCUGCCAGUACCUCACUUAAUAAAGAAUUGGAAGACUCUUCUUGUA